rnacentral:rRNA from 1 species
UACGUAGGGACCAAGCGUUGUUCGGAUUUACUGGGCGUAAAGGGCGCGUAGGCGGCGUGGUAAGUCACUUGUGAAAUCUCUGAGCUUAACUCAGAACGGCCAAGUGAUACUGCUGUGCUAGAGUGCAGAAGGGGCAAUCGGAAUUCUUGGUGUAGCGGUGAAAUGCGUAGAUAUCAAGAGGAACACCUGAGGUGAAGACGGGUUGCUGGGCUGACACUGACGCUGAGGCGCGAAAGCUAGGGGAGCAAACAGG